rfam:Shewanella loihica PV-4, complete genome.
UUAAAAGACCCCGUUGGAAGUUGCCGGAGUGGCUUGCAGAAAAUCACGUGAUUGAGGCAUGGAUGCCGAGAUAGCCUCAGAUGAGCCAUGGAUGGCGAAUAUGAGGCGAUAGGGAUUUUCAAAAAGACACGAAGGAGUACAACUUCGCCGGGGCGUCAGGG